AGCACAAAUUAUGAGUCUGCUCUUCACGCACCGUGGCACAUAGUGAGCAGACCAUAAUUAGUGUUUU
ensembl:miRNA gmo-mir-11214 gmo-mir-11214